rnacentral:tRNA from 2 species
GGCGACGUGGCCGAGUGGUUUAGGCAAGGGCCUGCAAAGCCCUGUACUUGGGUUCGAUUCCCAACGUCGCCU